AGCAACAUGACAUAGUAGAAAGAGCCCUGGAUUUGAAAUCAAAGAUCCUGGGUUCAAAUCCCAGUUUUACUA
rnacentral:tRNA from 1 species